GUCUGGCCUGCCCACUGAUAAUUUUUAAGGGCCGCGGUAAUUUGACCGUGCGAAGGUAGCAUAAUCAGUAGUCUUUUAAUUGGAGGCUGGAAUGAAAGGUUGGACAAGGGGGAAUCUGUCUUUUUUACAAUUUUUGAAUUUUACUUUUAAGUGAAAAGGCUUAAAUGGGCUGGGGGGACGAUAAGACCCUAUAAAAUUUUACAAAAUUGGAAUUUUUAUUUGAAUUAGGGUUUAAAUUCUAUGAUUUCUUGUUUGUUGUGUUGGGGCGACAAAGAUAAAAGUUAGUAACUGUCAUUUAAGUAGAAUAAGUAUAAUUAGUUUAGUUGAUCCUUUAUUAGAGAUUAAAAGAUUAAGUUACUUUAGGGAUAACAGCGUAAUUUUCCUUGAGAGUUCUUAUCGACAGGAGUAGUUGCGACCUCGAUGUUGAAUUAAGAUUUCUUUUAAGUGUAGCAGCUUAAUAAGUGGGUCUGUUCGACCCU
rnacentral:rRNA from 1 species